ACUGUUUUACAAUAGGGAUAAGCAUUCCAAGCCUCUUCAUGGAUCUCCAGCGAGUUCUUUGGCAAUAAAAUGCGAAUAAAAGCAGGCACUUUGCUAGCUAAGUGAUAAAUCUUAUAUGUAUAUUGGCCUGAUGAGUACUUUCCACCAAGCAAUGGGUAAUCCGUAAAUGGCUCAUUUUUCAACACUUCAAUACCUUCUCCGCCACCUGUAUUAUUCUUACUAGCCUCUGCUACAGAGUAUAGUUGAGCUACUUGAUACUGUUAAUAGAAAAACAUUUUAUAAAUAUUUAAUAGUUUUCAAAGAGUCAGAUAAAAAGUUCUGAAUUGCAUAAUUUGCCUGCAGACAGAUAUAUAGAUAUAUAUUUUAAUUCAUUUUGAAAAAGCAAAAUCUUUAUUAUUCAUACUUCAUUUUUUGCAUUUAUUUAUCACUACAAUUCACAUAUAAUUCAGUCAUUUAAAUCAAACAGAAAUAAUAUAAAUUAUAACUAAAAAAUGAACUUUGAACAUAAUUGUAUUAUUGAAAUAUCUUUACUAUCUUAGUAAUCCAAGGUGAACAAAUAAUGAAUAGAAAUAUAGAAUCAUCAUUCAGAUAAGAACAGAUAAUAAUAAGGAAUAAUUAUGACAAAAAAAAGUGGCUUUCAAUUACAAUUGUGCAAACUAAUUCUAUGUAAGAACUCAUUAUCAAACAUAUAUAGUAUCAUGCAAAUAACAAUUAGAUGAUUGGCAAUUUUUCUGAUUGCAUAGUAAUGUUAACAAAUUUUAGGUCAUCCAUUUUUUUUGCAAUCUAAUCAUCCUUAGGCCUAUAUUAAACUGGGUCAUUAUCAGAGGGGCAAGACCUUUCUGACAGAUCAGACACAUACCUCUUCCACUGUAAGGGGCAGAGUGACACGGCUGUAACAAACAAGUAACAAGUUAUGUCAGCAUUAUGUCAGACGAGGAAAGGAAAGAGGAAGAACUGAAGGAGAUGACGGUAACGCGAUCGUGGCCUUGAGUCACGUUUUCCCGCAUCACACGGACGGGGGGCACACGUUGCUGGCGUACAGUAUCGCUCUCGGCGAUCUUAAUUGAAUCAGAAAUCAAAAGCGAUCGAUAAAGUUUGAAAUUUACAACCGGCUGAACGUCAGUCCGCAUCAAAGUAUUCUCAAGUCGGUGAGUCAAGGUAGCCGAAAGAAUUCUCUCGAGGUCAGCUGAAAUUUCAGCUGCACUUCCCUUGCACUCUCCGCUUUUAAAAGGAACCAAAUUCAGUUCGGAGAGAGAGAGAAAGGAACAAGGUGCAGAGAGUGCAACUAAAACGAGCAGACCUCAAGCAGUAAGGGAUGACGAGUGUCUCACCAUCCCUCCACCUUCAACUCCCCUCCAGCUGUCAAGUUGCCGUUAAAGAUUAGUAAUAAUCGCGACUUGUCGAUCGCUUUUGAAUUUUCUGUCAGCUCGAUACGUCACGAAAUUAAUGACAUUCACUGUGGCGCGCACACCUGACAGCCCCCUCGUCCUGUCCCCUUUCCUCGCCCCCCUCCUCGUCCUUCCUUUCUCACUCGUCAACUUACUAUUCCUUGAUAAGCAUUUUAGGCAGAAGAGCACAUGGACCAGUCAGCGCGCGAUCAGCAGACUUUACCGCCGACGAUGACGACGACGACGACGAACGAGGAGGCAGCGCUCAGCAACAGCACCACCAGCAACCCGCCACUAAAACACACCACCACCGCACCCUCGUCAGCUAACAGCGGAUCCACUCGCGCUAUCGGCUCGCUUCUUCUCGUUGCUGAGUCAUACACGACAGGGGAUAAAUGCAACGCCGCGAGACUUGCCAACCGACUGACACACUCUGGCCACCGCUGGCCGCUCCACGGUCCGCACCAGCACAAAUCAAGCAACCGCACCGCGACGACCGCGCCGAACGAGCCUACACACACUUGCGCGCGCGCCCGCGCACACGUGUACGACCGUGAUUCCCUUCCUUCCCCGCCUCGCCUGUCCGAUUCUUUCCCCUUCUCUCGCGCUGCGUCUCUCCUCGAACUUCGCCGAUGACGUCAGUCAGCGACAAGACGGCCGCGCAUGCGAACUGCCCGGUUGAUCUGGCACCUAUCUAGGUUGAGAAAUUGGAACGGAGAAAAAUUACGAAUGAUGGAUGCUGCGAGAAAUUUUAUGCUCUUAAUACUCGAGAGAAUUAUGUUGGAUGCACUGAUACGCAUUAAGGACGAGUAUUCAAAUUCAAAUUCACUUUUAGAACGAGAUAGAAGUAAACACUUUUGCUAUUAAAAUCAACCUUAAACUUAGCAUACAGAUUGAUAUAAGAAGAUAAGAAUAUAUACAUAUAUGGAAAUGUAUUUUAAAGAUGAAUAAGAGAUAAAGUUUCCUCGACAAGUGAUUAAAUGUAAAGGCUUUAUGGAGCCAGAAAUAAUUGAAAUAAACGAUUUUAUCAACUUU